UUUUUUUUUUUUUUUUUUUUUGUCUUUUUAGGGCCACACCCAUAGCAUAUCAAAUUUCCCAGGCUAGGGGUCAAAUCAGAGCUACAAUUGCUGGCCCACAUCACAGCCACAGUAGUGCCAGAUCCAAGCUGCAUCUGCAACCUAUGUCAUAGCUCAUGGCAAUACCAGAUCCAACCCAUAUCCUCAUGAAUACUGGUUGGGUUCAUUACCACUGAGCCACAAUGGGAACUACCCAUCAAUAUUUCUUGCAUAACUGUAAUAUUUAUCCAAUGAACAAUUUAUCAUUUUCUAACCAGGGCUUAAUACAUUAUUUCCAAUGCACUGAGUAAUUAAGAGCGCCUAGAAUUUCACAAAUCUAAAGCUUAGAACUUCUGUUGAAAUCUUAAAGCAAUAAUAUAUAUUAAUGACAAAUAAGUCUACAAAUGUUGGGUGGUGUGUUUAAAGAAUACAUUAAUGACUGCUCAAAAUUGCAAGAGGUUUUUUUUUUUUUUAAUUUGCAUUGUGAAUAUCUUAGCGGUAAAGAGCCGAUGUUAAUUAUAAUACUUGAAACAUCAUAUGUAUUUUACUUUUCCUAGUUUAAAGGUGUCUCUCAAUAAUGGGUAUUUCCAGAUCACUUCUUUUUCAUUUUAGUCUCUGCUGUGACUAAUUUCAGCAUACUCAGUAUAUAGCACAGCAUUUUUCCAACUUAUAUAGUUGGAAGAAAUUAAAAUGGAAUUUUAGGGGUUCAUUUUAUAUUUAAAGCAGAUUUGAAUACUCAAUAGGAAAUAUAUUUAGUGCUUUAUUUCUCAUAUCUCACAUCCUCCAGGUUUUUGAUAUUACAUCCAAAUUGUGACACCACUAUGUAACCCAAUUGUCAUUUUUUUGUAUUAAAGUUCAUGAACUGAGUACUAGGAAAGCAUUUUCUGUCUAAUACACACUCAAAAAGUCUUCAAGAAGUACUCCAAAAGUCUGCUUAGCAAUAAUAUUUUAUUGUCAUUUUUAAUGCCAAAUUCAUGCAUAUUCUUUACUACAUUGCUAAAUUAUAUAUUCCAGUUCAGCCAGAGGUUUAAACAUUAUAUAUUCCAGAUUGUGACUCACAGUGCGCUGCAAACAGCAUUAUGACUAGUGCAGCUGUCAUAAUGGAAGUAUUAUAAAGUGUUGCACAGAUAUAAAAUGUAAACUUAAACUCUGCAAAAUUCACAGAAAUUAAGGGCGAGAAAGUUUUACUAUAAUAUAGUCUCUCUAUAUGUAUAUAUAUUUAUAUAAUAACAUAUAUUUCUAGAGAUUCUACAUGUAUUCAUCAGGCAAGUGCAUACUUCGUUCAUUUGUAUAUUAAAUGCCAACCGUAGACUACCUACUCUUAAAUUCUGAGCAUACAGCAGUGAAUAAAACAGUCAGAUUCCUCCUUACAUGCUGCAUAUAUGCUAGUAGGAGGAGAUAGACCUUAAGUAAGUAAACAUAUAAAUUUGUAACAUAUCAAACACUGAUAAAUUCUAUGAACGCUAAUAAAACUGAGCAAGAAUGGUAGGGAUUCCUAGAGACAGGAUGGGAAAAAUAUUUUAUAUAUGAUAGGAUGGGAUGUUCUAUUUUAAGAGGACAUUUGCGAUCAAAGACAUGAAGAACUAAGGCCAUGAGCUAAGCAGGUAUCUGUAGAAAAGUGUUCUGGGUAGAAGAUACAGCAGUGGGAGCUGGUAUAUCAAGUCCUUAAGGACCAGUGUGGAAGUCACUGUGGCUGAGGCCAACUGAAUAAAGGACAGGCAGUAAAACAUGCAAAUAGAGAGGCUGCAUUGGGUUAAUAUUACAGUGCAAUACCAAUGACGUGGUGGGUCAUUUUAAGGUUAUUAUUUUUUUUAACAGAUGUAUAUUUAGACAAGUUUCAGAUUAACAGAAUAAUAAUAGAAAAGACAAUAGAGCUCCCAUAUAACUACACUUCAAUUUCCAUUCUUACCAAUCUCUACAUUAGAGUAGCGCCUUUACUAUAUCUGUUGGGCAGAUCUUCAUACAUCAUUCUUUACAAAAGCCUAUAGUGUAUUCAGUUAUUUUUUAGUUUUUACUUAAUAUCUUUGUUUACUUGUUUCAGGAUUCCACUCACAUGUUUAGUUAUCGCCUUAGGUUCCUGUUGUCUAUGUGAGUUGCUCAGACUUGUUUGUUUUUCCAGCUGUGCUGAGAUAUAAUUGACACACAACAUUGUGGAAGUGUAAGGUGUACCUCAUGAUGAUUUGAUACAUGUAGAUAUUGUGAAGUGAUCAGCACAGUAAGUUUAAUGAGCACAUCCUUCAGCCCCACAUAAUUACCACUUUUUGUUGUUUCGUGGGUGGAGAUAGCCUUUAAGAGCUGCUCUCUUAGCAAUGUUCAAGUAUACAACACAGUAUUGUUAACUAUAGUUAACCAUGCUGUCCAUUAGAUCCCCAGAACAUAUGCAUCUUAUAACUAGAAGUUCAUAGCCCAUAGCAACAUCUCUCAGAUAUCUCUCGGAUAUUUUUGAUAUGCUGAGAGUUUUGAGGACUCAUCUCUAUUGAAAUUUACGUGAUGGGUUUCUAGUGAUUAGACUGCAGUCAUGUAUUGUGGGGAGGGGGAACCACAGAGGAAAGUGCCGUUUCAUUACAUCAUUAAAGGGAACACAGUAGCAACGUGAUUAAUGACGGCCAACAUGGACCUUGGUCACAUUGACUUAGGGAGGGUUUUUCAGGAUUCUCAAUGGUGAAGUUACUCCAUCCACAUUCUCUUUCCAAACUCCACUCAGGAAGGAAACUACUUUGUGCAUCGGACAUUUUAAAAGUAGGGACUUAAGCUCUCCCUCCUUGAAUAUAGAGAGUUUGCAUACAUCAUAUGGAACUAUUUGGCACAGAAGAUUUGUCUCUUCUCUCUCAUGUAUUUCUUUAUUUGUAGAAUCAUUUAUUUAUCUAAGGGAUUCCAACCCAGUAGGACCUUAAUUUUCAUUUCCUUGCUCUGUUUGAUUAUCGACAACUUGUAGCUCUUUGACUUGGUUCUUGCCCCUAUGGUAUGCCUCCAUCAGUGUCAGUAUUUUUUUUUCAUCAGAAAAUAAGCACUUAGGAUUUUCUGGCACUUCAAGAUGCUCCAGGUUCAUUUUUUUGUAUUUCUAGACACAGUCCUGGAAUCAGCCAUUUAUUCAAGAGCUCUGGUUCAUUUUAUUCAAAAAUAGUAUCAGAAAACAAGUAAUACCUGCUAAAUUGUACAACUUCUACUGAAGUGUCAUUUCACUUACACCCUCUCAGCAAACGUAUCAAAGAUAUAUAUGUGUAUACACUAAUCCAUAUAUAUUUACAUAAAAUGUAUCUGUAACAAUCUGUAUCUACAUUAAGCUAAUGAUGUUUCCAACUGUAACUAAUAUCUUACUAAUGUCUCCAAUUUCAAUCCAUCAGCACAGGAAUCAUUCAAAGUCUUCUGCCCUUGAUUAUAUGUAAAUUCCCAUUCCAAUAGAAAAGCCAGGCUUUUACUAUUUGCCAUCUUUUUGCUUCAUUUUUCAAUUCUAGUACACACGUAUAGAAUAUCAUAAUUUUAACUAGUACCCAUAUGGGAAGAACUUUAUCAGCUAGACUUCAGUCUAUAGCUGAAGCCCCCUUUGCCUUCAGUAUUACAUAUAUCCCUAAUUUCCAAAGUUGUUCAUUAGUUCAUCACCUCCCCUCCCCGACCCUGCUCAAUGAGGUUGUUUCAUACUUUUGUAAAUAGAGUGACACGCUCUUGUCACAGUCUACAUUGCUUUCUGGGGUCCUCCAACUUGCCAAAUAAUUUCUUUAUUUGUUAACAUUAAAGUUCAUUCUGUGCAGCAAACUCUAUAGGUUUUAACAAACACAAUUCCAUAUUUUCACCAUUACAACAUCAUACAGACUAAUUUCACCCCCCAAAAAUCUACCUAGACAAUCAUGUCAUCUGCAAAUAAAGACAGUUUUAUUUCUCUCUUUCCAAUCUGCCUACUUUUUUCUUUGCUUUUGUCUUAUUGCAUCAACUAGGACUUUGAGUAUGAGAUGAAACAGAAAAGAUGAGAGGUGGUAUUUUUACCUUCAGUCUAUUGAUGUGGGGUGUAUGAUAUUAAUUGAUUUUAAAGGUUAAAGCAGUCUUGAGUAUGUAGAAUAAAUUCCACUUUUUCAUGGUCUAUCAUCUUUUCUAUAUGUUGUUGCAUUUGAUUUGCUAAUAUUUUACUAAAGAUUUUAAAUCUAUGUUCAUGAGACAUAUUAGUCUGUAGGGGUUUUUUUAAAUAUAUUUAUCUGGUUUUGGUAUUAGAGUAAUGUUGGCACAUUAACAUGAGCUAGAAAAAGUCCCCUCUGCUUUUGUUUUCUGGAAGAGAUUGUGAAGUAUUAAUAUGAUUUCCUCUUUAAAUUUUUGAUAGAAUUUAAUAGAUAAAAUAUUUGGACCAGAUACUUUUUAUUGAAAGUUAGUAAAUAUUGAAUUAAUCCAUAAUACUUAUGUACCUAAUCAGUUUAUAUAUUUCUCCUGUGUGAGUUUUGAUAGUUUGUGUUUUUAAAGAAAUUGGCCAUUUCAUCUAAGUCAUCAAAUUGGUGGUCAAAGAAAACGUACCAAACUAUGAUAUCCUUAAAAUUCAUAUGUUGAAGUCCAAGUCCCCCGUACCUCAGAAUGUAAACUCAUCCAGAAAUAAGGUUUUUAAAUACAUGGUUAAGUUAAAAUGAGGUCUUUACGGUGGACUCUAAUCCGCUAUGGAUGGUGUUCUAAUUAG
rnacentral:lncRNA from 1 species